CCUACGGGAGGCAGCAGUGAGGAAUAUUGGUCAAUGGACGUAAGUCUGAACCAGCCAAGUCGCGUGCAGGAAGACGGCUCUAUGGGUUGUAAACUGCUUUUAUACGGGGAUAAACUUAGCCACGUGUGGCUAAUUGCAGGUACCGUAUGAAUAAGGAUCGGCUAAUUCCGUGCCAGCAGCCGCGGUAAUACGGAGGAUCCGGGCGUUAUCCGGAUUUAUUGGGUUUAAAGGGUGCGUAGGCUGUUCUUUAAGUGAGGGGUGAAAUGUCGGGGCUCAACCGUGGAACUGCAGCGCAUACUGGGGGUCUUGAGUGUGGUUGAGGUAGGCGGAAUGUGUGGUGUAGCGGUGAAAUGCUUAGAGAUCACGCAGAACUCCGAUUGCGAAGGCAGCUUAC
rnacentral:rRNA from 1 species